GUGGUAUGUUAAUUGGCGUCUUUUCUGUUUGUCAGUGAAGUUUUUGCAAAUUCCCCAUUCUUUAUUUCGGCAGAGUUAGCUGGUGCAUUGGAAGCAAGCAAAAAUGAGGACUACAGGGAAAUAAUUAUUCCAGCUGGGAGAAACUAUGAGGUUUCACUGAUCGUGGAAUCAAUCAACUCCUAUAUUGCCUGGGAUUUCUCAUUGGUGCAAGGCAAGA